CCUACGGUGGGCAGCAGUGAGGAAUAUUGGUCAAUGGACGAGAGUCUGAACCAGCCAAGUAGCGUGAAGGAUGACUGCCCUAUGGGUUGUAAACUUCUUUUAUAUGGGAAUAAAACGUUCCACGUGUGGGAUUUUGUAUGUACCAUAUGAAUAAGGAUCGGCUAACUCCGUGCCAGCCGCCGCGGUAAUACGGAGGAUACGAGCGUUAUCCGGAUUUAUUGGGUUUAAAGGGAGCGUAGGUGGAUUGUUAAGUCAGUUGUGAAAGUUUGCGGCUCAACCGUAAAAUUGCAGUUUAAACUGGCAGGCUUGAGUACAGUAGAGGUGGGCGGAAUUCGGGGUGUAGCGGGGAAAUGCUUAGAUAUCACGAAGAACUCCGAUGGCGAAGGCAGUUCACUGGACUGCAACUGACACUGAGGCUCGAAAGUGUGGGUAUCAAACAGGAUUAGAUACCCUAGUAGUC
rnacentral:rRNA from 1 species